GGACACAUACACUAGCAAUCAAACGUUUUUUCUCAGAAAAUUGAUUUGUCCUUCCCUUUUGAAAGAUAUUAUUGUUGAAAUCCAUACAUGCUGCACAAGACAACAGGAAGUGAAGUAAUUUGACACAUAAUGUGAUGAGAAUCUCCUCUACCAUGAAGGGACAGAUGAACUCUGUGGCUGGUGACAAGAGUAUUUAUGCAAUAGGAAAAAGGAAUAUUUUGAUUUUGAAAGGCAAGUUGAAUCUAGUGACUCAUUAAAUAAGGAAGCAUGCAAAUAAUUUCACAGCAAUGAGAAUGCCACCUUUAUGAAGGGACCAUGCCGGUUUUUACUGGGAAAAGUAACGAGUAAUCUAAACACAGUGUUACUCCACAUAUACACCAGAGAACAAGAGCUCAGUUCCAUGAAUAGAGCAGACUCCACUAUCUCCAUGAAAUUUUGGGAUGCAAGGUGCUAUGUAAGU